rnacentral:pre_miRNA from 1 species
UGGGGGUUCUUGUGGGCAUAUGCCAUGCAAUGGGGCAAUGCCCUGAGAAAUCCCAGA